CAGUGGGAGCACGCUUAGGCGUGUGACUGCGUACCUUUUGUAUAAUGGGUCAGCGACUUAUAUUCUGUAGCAAGGUUAACCGAAUAGGGGAGCCGAAGGGAAACCGAGUCUUAACUGGGCGUUAAGUUGCAGGGUAUAGACCCGAAACCCGGUGAUCUAGCCAUGGGCAGGUUGAAGGUUGGGUAACACUAACUGGAGGACCGAACCGACUAAUGUUGAAAAAUUAGCGGAUGACUUGUGGCUGGGGGUGAAAGGCCAAUCAAACCGGGAGAUAGCUGGUUCUCCCCGAAAGCUAUUUAGGUAGCGCCUCGUGAAUUCAUCUCCGGGGGUAGAGCACUGUUUCGGCAAGGGGGUCAUCCCGACUUACCAACCCGAUGCAAACUGCGAAUACCGGAGAAUGUUAUCACGGGAGACACACGGCGGGUGCUAA
rnacentral:rRNA from 1 species